rnacentral:rRNA from 13 species
AAAGCAGGCCUUUGCUCGAAUACGUUAGCAUGGAAUAAUAAAAUAGGGCGUGCGUUUCUAUUUUGUUGGUUUCUAGAGACGCCGCAAUGAUUAACAGGAACAGUCGGGGGCAUCAGUAUUCAGUUGUCAGAGGUGAAAUUCUUGGAUUUACUGAAGACUAACUACUGCGAAAGCAUUUGCCAAGGAUGUUUUCAUUAAUCAAGAACGAAAGUUGGGGGCUCGAAGACGAUCAGAUACCGUCCUAGUCUCAACCAUAAACGAUGCCGACCAGGGAUCGGCGGAUGUUGCUCU